ACGUAGCCAAGUGGUAAGGCAGAGGAUUGCAAAACCUUUAUUCGCAGGUUCGAUUCCGAUCGC
rnacentral:tRNA from 1 species